rnacentral:tRNA from 1 species
UCCGGUGUAGCUCAGUUGGUAGAGCGACGGACUGUUAAUCCGCAGGUCGCAGGUUCGAGCCCUGCUACCGGAGCCA